rnacentral:rRNA from 1 species
AGGACGAACGCUGGCGGCGUGCUUAACACAUGCAAGUCGAACGAGGUCCAUCCUUCGGGAGAAGACCUAGUGGCGAACGGGUGAGUAACACGUGAGCAACCUGUCCCGAAGACCGGGAUAAGCCAGGGAAACUUGGUCUAAUACCGGAUACCCUCAUCGAUUCUUAUGUGUUGAUGAGGAAAUGUUUUUCGCUUUGGGAGGGGCUCGCGGCCUAUCAGCUUGUUGGUGGGGUAAUGGCCUACCAAGGCGUCGACGGGUAGCUGGUCUGAGAGGAUGAUCAGCCACACUGGGACUGAGACACGGCCCAGACUCCUACGGGAGGCAGCAGUGGGGAAUCUUGCGCAAUGGGCGAAAGCCUGACGCAGCAACGCCGCGUGAGGGAUGAAGGCUUUCGGGUUGUAAACCUCUUUCAGCAGGAACGAAAUGACGGUACCUGCAGAAGAAGCUCCGGCCAACUACGCGCCAGCAGCCGC